rnacentral:rRNA from 1 species
GGGGGGCUCUUCCUAGUACGAGAGGACCGGAAGGGACGCAC